rnacentral:misc_RNA from 1 species
GAUGAAGAACGUAGCGAAAUGCGAUAAGUAAUGUGAAUUGCAGAAUUCAGUGAAUCAUCGAAUCUUUGAACGCACCUUGCACCCUUUGGCAUUCCGAAGGGUAUGCUCGUUUGAGUGUCAUUGUACUCUCACACUCUCCGAUCCUAUGGAUUCGGGGAGCGGUGGACUUGGGUGUUGCUGCCUUUCCCUGUGGCUCACCUCAAAUGCGUCAGUGCACCUCUUGGUUGGACAUAGUACGGCGUGAUAAGUGUCUUCGCCGGCACCUCGCAAGAGGGUGGCUGAUCAGGAGCUCUGUGCUUUCCAACUGUCUUCAGACAACAACUGACAACUUGACCUCAAAUCGAGUAGGACCACCCGCUGAACUUAAGCAUAUCAAUAAGCGGAGGA